UUUAGUUGACAUAUGAUCAGUCUUCACCAUUCCUUGUAGUAUUCUUUCCCUCAUAAAGUAACAGUUUAUAUCAAUUUUCUUUGUUCUCUCAUAAAUUAUAGGGUUGGCUGCAAUUUGAAUUGCAACUUUGUUGUCACACCUUAACUGAGCUAGUAACUCUACAUUGACUCUAUGAAUACUCCAACUUGCCAAGUAAUUUCUAUUAUACAUGUGCUUUUGAAUUCAGAUUCAGAUGAACUUCUACACACAAUUUCUUGCUUCUUUGACAUCUAAAAAUCUAAGGCAACUCCAAACUUCACUAAGUAUCCUGUCACCGACAUUCUAAUUUGCAGAAAGGCUACCCAGUCUGAGUCAUAAUAGGCCAGUAGUUGAUUGGAGUUCUGUGCAGGCAUAAACAACUCUAGACCAGGUGCCUCUUUUAUAUACUUCACUACUCUAAGAGCAUCUCUCCAUAUGGGAGAUCUUUGUUAUGUGCAUAUACUAACUUAGUACCUGAACUGCAAAAUCCAAGUCAAGUGUACUCAUAGUAAGGUAUAGAAUCCUUUGAACUAGUCUCUGAUAGAAUCCUGUGUCCUUGAGCACUUCAUCUUUAGAAUUACUUUGUACAUGUUUGUCAUACUCCUGAGAAGUUAGUUUCUUACUUAACUCUAAAGGAGUACCAAUUGAUUUUGAUCCUCCUAGCUGUGACGCACCUAUAAGUUCUAGCGUAUACUCCAUUUGGCAUAUCACAAUGCCCUCCUUUGACCUUGCAAAUUCAAUGUCUAGGGAAAAAUUCAAUUCUCUCGAGUCUUUCAUUUUAAACUUGGUCUGUAAUUCAUCUCUUCUCUGAUAUAUCAAAAUAUGAUUAGCAGGUCAUCAACAUAGACUAGAACCACUGUUAGAUCACAAUGAGUCUUCUAGGUUAAUAAAGAGUAAUCAAAAUGACUUUGUUAAAACCCUAUUUGUGACAGGGCUUCUGUCAGCUUCUUGUUCCAUUGUGUGGAUGAUUGCUUAAGACCAUAUAAAGAUUUAUGUAGUUUGCAGACCUUCAUACUCUCCUCGUGUCUAGCAAAACCUUGAGGAAUAUGCAUAUAUACCUCCUCUAGAAGAUUCCCAUUUAGAAAUUUAUUAUGAACAUCCAUUUGAUAGAUCACCCAACUCCUAAAAGUAACAAGGGCCACAAUAGAUCUAACUGUCACCAUUGGCCACAUGUAAAAAGACUUUUGUGUAGUCAAGUUCCUCCUAUUGACUAUAUAACCCUUAGCAACCAACCUAGCCUUGUACCUCUCUAUUUCCCUUGAGGCCUUAUAUUUGAUUUUAAAAUCCACUUACACCUAAUAGGGGUCUUACCAGGAGGUAGAUUCACUAUGCUCCAUGUAUGAUUUGCUUCCAAGGCAUUAAUUUCAAGCUAUAUUUCUUCUACCCACUUGGGAUACACCACUACUUUUGUAAAGUUCCUAGGUUUAGUAGCAGCUGAGUAAGCUGACACUGUAUCUCUAUAAGGAGGUUUGACAUUAUCAUAGGUGGCAUAUGAGGAAAUUAGAUAGUGUCACACAUUUUUUUCUUAGAAGUGGUCACAUAAUCUUGCAUCUAGAGAUGGGGGUCUCCCCUGUCUACUUUAUCAUUGCAUCUAGAGGUGGUUCAGGUAAAUGUUCAUCAAGGCCUAGAUUUUCUACAGUUAGUGCCAUAGUUGCAGAAGGUUGAGUCUCCAAUUGACCUUCAAUAUCAGAUAAAUGAAGUGAAGGACCAGAGACCCUUGUAGUACCACUGGAUGGUGUAACAUUUAGAUCAGUUAAGCGACACUCACCUAGUGAUACUAAGUCAAGAACAUGAAAUAUAGGAUUGCAUGCAUCCUUCAUGUUCUUGAAAGGAAAUAAAUAUUCCUGAAACACCACAUUCCUACGUACAAAGAAGGAAUUUGUAUGCAAAACAUAUAGCUUCUAUCCCUUUUGAGAGGGAGAAUAUCCAAUCAAUACUACUUGAAUGGUUCUGGAAGCAAACUUAUGCUCUUUUGAACUAGCUGCAUAACAGAGAUAUCCAAACACUCUAAGAUGUGAAAGAGAAGGAGAUUGCAAAUGAAGCAUCUCAAAAGGAGACUUGUCAUGUAGAACUCUAAUGGUAGGCUAGGAGCCAAUGUUUUUAACUAUAAUUUGUACUCUAGUUACUACACUUUGAUUGGAUUUAACCCUAAUUGUUAGUACUUUGUACUUAUUACGUAUGUUAUACUGUGUAGGAUGUGAUUUCGAGUGGAGAAACAAGAUUGAAGAUAAAAUGGAUGAUUUGAAGCUUUGAAGUCUGAGUAGAAGCCCAAGAAAUUAAGUCGGGAUCAUGUUCAGGGGUCGAGGACCAAGUAUGGAAGUCAAAAAGUGAGAAAAAAGAUUACUCUAGAAAAAAUGCACUAUCGCGCCGUGCCAUGCGCCGCGGGGCAUGGGUUGCUAGUGCAAAAUUCUUACAGAGUGAAAACAAAAUCAACUCUAUGAACUUUUUCACUAAUGCGGUGCAUGGUACGCCGCCCCGGGCACUGCGCCUAUGUAAUUUCCUUAGAGUAAUUUUCCACUUCGGCUAGAAAAGGGUAGUUUUGUCGAGUCUUGUUCCUACAUGGUAUAAAUACACCAACAACGUAAUUUUUAGAGGGCUUUUGACCUUGGAAGCUUUUGGAGAGCAUUGGAGGCUACACGACACGCGAUUUUAUCAUAUUUCCAUCAAUUCAAUAUGAGAGCUUGGAUUGUAACGUUGGAUUGAUAUUUUCUUACUCUUUAAUUCUAUUUGUGAUUACCUCCUCCAUGAUUAUGGAGUAGUUUCUAUUAGGGGUUGACAUGAUUUUGUGACUCGAUUAUUAUCUAUGGAUUUGAUCAUUA
rnacentral:lncRNA from 1 species